rnacentral:snRNA from 1 species
AAAAAGGGCUUCUGUCGUGAGUGGCACACAGAGGGCAUCCCGAUUGCUCUUCAGGCGCAUCAACAUCCAGAGAUCUCAGAUGCAUAAUUUUUGUUGCUCAGGCAGGCAGUGCUUGUCGGUCCUGGCGCAGAA